AGCCGCGGUAAUACCGGCGGCUCGAGUGGUGGCCACGAUUACUGGGCUUAAAGCGUUCGUAGCUGGGUUGUUAAGUCUCUUGGGAAAUCUACCGGCUUAACCGAUAGGCGUCCAAGGGAUACUGGCAAUCUAGGGACCGGGAGAGGUGAGGGGUACUUCAGGGGUAGGAGUGAAAUCCUGUAAUCCUUGGGGGACCACCUGUGGCGUAGGCGCCUCACCAGAACGGCUCCGACAGUGAGGGACGAAAGCUGGGGGAGCAAACCGGAUUAGAUACCCGGGUAGUCCCAGCCGUAAACGAUGCGCGUUAGGUGUAUCGAUGACCACGAGUCAUCGAGGUGCCGAAGGGAAACCGUGAAACGCGCCGCCUGGGAAGUACGGUCGCAAGGCUGAAACUUAAAGGAAUUGGCGGGGGAGCACCACAACAGGUGGAGCCUGCGGUUUAAUCGGACUCAACGCCGGAAAUCUCACCGGAUAAGACAGCUGAAUGAUAGCCGGGCUGAAGACUCUGCUUGACUAGCUGAGAGGUGGUGCAUGGCC
rnacentral:rRNA from 1 species